ensembl:lncRNA
UUUUUAUCAUUACAUUAUGGAAAAUAAUGAACUUUUUCACAAUAUGCUAAUUUUUUGAGAAGGACCUGUAGAACAACAGCAGGCUUUAUAUGAAAUGUAGGCUACUGUACAGAGCAAAUUUAAUACAACAUUCCCUGCAUUCAUAUAAAAUAGGAGGUGCCUUGCAUAUGGCAUUAACAUGUGACAUGAAAACAAGUCAUAUCUGCAACUUGCACUAAAAUAAUACAAAUAAAUAAAUAGAUAUUUUAGCAACCAAUAAGAGUUCUUUAAAUAAACACUUUCAGAAACAAUUUUAGUAGCAUCAGUAAAGUUUGGGGAAAACCUGUGGGGUAGGGCCUAACGUUAAUCUUCAGUGUGUGUAAAAAGUUUUUUUUUUUUUUUUUAUGGAAAUACGGUGGCCGAGAGAGGUCAACUCACUUCAAAUGAAAAAAUGAAAAGAAAAAAAAAACAUGCAAACAGAAAAAACACCAGCAAAUAAAAAAAAAUACAUAAUUCAACAGAAAAUGAUGGCUGUGGUGAAACAAGCACUUAAAUAAUGGAACUAAGACCUGUGAGAGUGCUGGAGAAAUCAAGUGUACCAAGUCCUCUGUCUCCUCAGCCAUGUAAGAGAUCUUCAGAUAUCAAGAGAGUGAGGAGUUAAAUGAAAUCAAAGAGCUAAAAGAUCUACAAUAUUAGUGCCAAUUCAGUAUGAAAACAGAGAGAGAGCUGAGGGAGUGGAAAGAAAUGCAUGUUAUUGUGCAAGGGGUAGUUGCGUGGACUAUCAGUGGAAGGACAGAAAGUGCUGAGAUUUCAUUAUAAAGACAUUUUCAUUUGUGUUCUGAAGAUGAACAAAAGGCUUGCUGGUUUGGAACAACAUGAGGGUGAGUAAUUGAUGACAGAAUUUUCAUUUUUGGGUGGACUGACCUUUUAACUUCUUUUACCUGGAGUGUUCAAAGACAUUGUUAAUGCUGACCAGUAUGCCAUAAGAAAUUUACUGGGAGUAGUAUGAAUACUUUUCACAAACUAUCGGUGACAUCACAAUUCAAGAUUUAUUUUAAAAUCUAAUCUAAGAUUUAUGCCUGUAGUGAAAAGUGAAAAACUGAAACUAGAGAAUUUCUAAUAGUUUUUGUUUGUUUGUUUUUCCGGACUACAUCCAAAAUUGUGUUUCCACAUCUGAGAUAAAGGCAGUCAUAAGAACCAAGCGGAAUGAUGAGGAUAAGCUCUUCAAAAAAUGAAACCUGCCUGAAUAAUGAGAGAAGAAAUAUGCAUGAUUGCGUGAUUUGUAAAUAAACACACAAAGUACAUUUAGUGUAACUCUCAGCCUGUUAUUUUAAGUUUAAAGAAAAGUAAAAUAAUUUAUUGUAGCAUUGCUGUUUGAGAAAUUCACUGUUGUUCAUUAUAUUGCAGUUGUUUGCAAAUAAAACUUGUUAUUCUGAAAAUACUGUUUGCAUUUCAGUGUUACUCUUCAGCAUUUUAUUAGUAUUGCACUUCGGUUGUAUUGUAUUGUUCUUCAGUUGUAUUAUAUAUUG